UGUAGUGGGGGAUAACGUUCCGAAAGGGACGCUAAUACCGCAUACGCCCCAAGGGGGAAAGCGGGGGAUCUUCGGACCUCGUGCUACAGGAUGAGCUUGCGUCGGAUUAGCUAGUUGGUGGGGUAAAGGCCUACCAAGGCGACGAUCCGUAGCUGGUCUGAGAGGAUGAUCAGCCACACCGGGACUGAGACACGGCCCGGACUCCUACGGGAGGCAGCAGUGGGGAAUAUUGCGCAAUGGGGGCAACCCUGACGCAGCCAUGCCGCGUGUGUGAAGAAGGCCUUCGGGUUGUAAAGCACUUUCAGUGGGGAGGAAAGGGCGCUGGCUAAUAUCCAGUGCAGUUGACGCUACCCACAGAAGAAGCACCGGCUAAUUCCGUGCCAGCAGCCGCGGUAAUACGGAAGGUGCGAGCGUUAAUCGGAAUUACUGGGCGUAAAGCGCGCGUAGGCGGCUUGGUAAGUCGGGUGUGAAAGCCCCGGGGCUCAACCUGGGAACUGCAUUCGAUACUGCUGGGCUAGAGUACGAGAG
rnacentral:rRNA from 1 species